rnacentral:rRNA from 1 species
AGCGAACGCUGGCGGCGUGCCUAACACAUGCAAGUCGAACGAGAAAGGGGCUUCGGCUCCGAGUAAAGUGGCGCACGGGUGAGUAACACGUGGGUAACCUGCCUCUAAGAUUGGGAUAACUCGUCGAAAGAUGAGCUAAUACCGAAUAAGACCACAGUUCCCGCGGGAACAGGGGUCAAAGGUAGCCUCUGCUUGCAAGCUAUCACUUAGAGAUGGGCCUGCGCACCAUUAGCUAGUUGGUAGGGUAACGGCCUACCAAGGCAAAGAUGGUUAGCUGGUCUGGGAGGAUGAUCCGCCACACUGGAACUGAAACACGGUCCAGACUCCUACGGGGGGCAGCAGGGGGGAAUAUUGCGCAAGGGGCGAAAGCUUGACGCAGCAACGCCGGGGGAGUGAUGAAGGCCUUCGGGUCGUAAAGCCCUGUCGGGGGGAACGAAUGCCCCUGGGGUUAACAGCCUCGGGGGGUGACGGUACCUUCAAAGGAAGCACCGGCAAACUCUGU